AUCCUACGGGACGCAGCAGUGAGGAAUAUUGGUCAAUGGGCGGGAGCCUGAACCAGCCAAGUCGCGUGAGGGAAGACGGUCCUAUGGAUUGUAAACCUCUUUAGGCGGGGAGCAAUGCCGGGCACGCGUGCCCGGAGGGAGAGUACCCGCAGAAUAAGCAUCGGCUAACUCCGUGCCAGCAGCCGCGGUAAUACGGAGGAUGCGAGCGUUAUCCGGAUUUAUUGGGUUUAAAGGGUGCGCAGGCGGGAGAUCAAGUCAGCGGUAAAAUGUCGGGGCUCAACCCCGGCCGGCCGUU
rnacentral:rRNA from 1 species